GAGUAGGUUAUUGCCAGGGUUUUUAUUUUAUACUUUAAGUUUUGAUUUUAUUUUUACGUUAUUUAAAUAUUGGUGUUUUUAAAUGUGUUAUUUAAAUAACAUAAAAAAUAAAAUAUAUGUUGACAUGUAUUAAACAAAGAUAUAUAUUAUUUUAUGUUGCAUAAACAAAUUGGCAAAAUAGAGAUGGAAGAUAAAAAUA
rnacentral:misc_RNA from 1 species